GACGGAGGAUGCAAGCGUUAUCCGGAAUGAUUGGGCGUAAAGCGUCCGCAGGUGGCAGUUCAAGUCUGCUGUCAAAGACCGGGGCUUAACUUCGGAAAGGCAGUGGAAACUGAACAGCUAGAGUAUGGUAGGGGCAGAGGGAAUUCCUGGUGUAGCGGUGAAAUGCGUAGAGAUCAGGAAGAACAUCGGUGGCGAAGGCGCUCUGCUGGACCAUAACUGACACUCAGGGACGAAAGCUAGGGGAGCGAAAGGG
rnacentral:rRNA from 1 species